GCUGGUGUGGCUCAGUGGAUAGAGCAUCAGCCUGCAGACUGAAGGGUUCCGGGUUCGAUUCCGGUCAAGGGCA
rnacentral:tRNA from 1 species